UGGGGAAUAUUGCACAAUGGGCGCAAGCCUGAUGCAGCCAUGCCGCGUGUAUGAAGAAGGCCUUCGGGUUGUAAAGUACUUUCAGCGGGGAGGAAGGGAGUAAAGUUAAUACCUUUGCUUAUUGACGUUACCCGCAGAAGAAGCACCGGCUAACUCCGUGCCAGCAGCCGCGGUAAUACGGAGGGUGCAAGCGUUAAUCGGAAUUACUGGGCGUAAAGCGCACGCAGGCGGUUUGUUAAGUCAGAUGUGAAAUCCCCGGGCUCAACCUGGGAACUGCAUCUGAUACUGGCAAGCUUGAGUCUCGUAGAGGGGGGUAGAAUUCCAGGUGUAGCGAUGAAAUGCGUAGAGAUCUGGAGGAAUACCGGUGGCGAAGGCGGCCCCCUGGACGAAGACUGACGCUCAGGUGCGAAAGCGUGGGGAGCAAACAGG
rnacentral:rRNA from 1 species